rnacentral:rRNA from 1 species
CCCUUAGAUGUCCUGGGCCGCACGCGUGCUACACUGACGCCUACAGCGAGUACUUCCCAGCCCCGAGAGGUGGCUGGUAAUCAGCAAUAGGCGUCGUGAUGGGGAUAGAUCUUUGGAAUUAUGGAUCUUGAACGAGGAAUGCCUAGUAAGCGCAGGUCAUUAGCCUACGCUGAUUAAGUCCCUGCCCUUUGUACACACCGCCCGUCGCUCCUACCGAUUUCGAGUGGUCCGGUGAAUCUUUCGGACUGCGCGCGGCCUCGUGCCGUGUCGCGGAAAGUCAGGUAAACCUUAUCACUUAGAGGAAGGAGAANUCGUANCA